AUUGAACGCUGGCGGCAGGCUUAACACAUGCAAGUCGAGCGGAGAUGAGGUGCUUGCACCUUAUCUUAGCGGCGGACGGGUGAGUAAUGCUUAGGAAUCUGCCUAUUAGUGGGGGACAACAUUCCGAAAGGAAUGCUAAUACCGCAUACGUCCUACGGGAGAAAGCAGGGGAUCUUCGGACCUUGCGCUAAUAGAUGAGCCUAAGUCGGAUUAGCUAGUUGGUGGGGUAAAGGCCUACCAAGGCGACGAUCUGUAGCGGGUCUGAGAGGAUGAUCCGCCACACUGGGACUGCGACACGGCCCAGACUCCUACGGGAGGCAGCAGUGGGGAAUAUUGGAUAAUGGGGGGAACCCUGAUCCAGCCAUGCCGCGUGUGUGAAGAAGGCCUUAUGGUUGUAAAGCACUUUAAGCGAGGAGGAGGCUACUGAGACUAAUACUCUUGGAUAGUGGACGUUACUCGCAGAAUAAGCACCGGCUAACUCUGUGCCAGCCGCCGCCGUAACAC
rnacentral:rRNA from 1 species